UUACGGUCAAAUCACGCUGAAACACUGGUUCUCGUACGAUCACCGAAGUUAAGCAUCGUAGAGCCAGGUCAGUACUUAGAUGGGGAACACCUGGUACUGUA
rnacentral:rRNA from 1 species